UUUUUCCCCCCAGAGAGCUUCAGACUAUUUAGUCUGUACAACAUGUGUAUGCAGAAGCCAUGUGACUGACCAAACAGGAAAAAUCUAUGAACCAUAGCAUACGAACAUCUGCAUCAGUGGAGAAGAGGAUACAUCUUCUGAGUGCAUAUGCUGGUGUCCUUAUUAGAGCUGCUGAGUUUUCUCUGUGAAUUAACUCUUGUAAACAGUGCUACAGCAAUGUGCCGGCAGAGACUAUAUUGAAAGACUGCUGAAAUCCAAGGCCUACAUCUAUAGGGUUGUGUGGGCAUAAGCAUCAUAGAAACAAGUUGCCCUGGAGAUACCCCAGCUUCUCUGACGAGCAUUCACGCAUGGAGCAGCUCCUUUGGAACCCUCCUGAGAACAAUUCUCUUCUUUCUGUUGCCAUCAUUCUUCAUGUCUUGCUCACAGAAGCUAAUGUGGCUAUAGCACACCAGUCAGCCCCAAGUUUACAAGAUGAACUCUGCCUUGAAUGUGAUUAUUACUUGCACCAGGAGAGAUACUAGUGAACACUGCAAUUGUGAAAGUGGCAGAUCGCUGUGUGAUGAACAAAGACUUACAUCCAAAUUGCUAGUUGCACCAGUAAAAUCCCUGGACUUCUCAGUAUUUCAGUGUCUUACCUCAGAUGUGUUAGCGGAAACCUGCCUUUGGC
rnacentral:lncRNA from 1 species